AGUGAACGCUGGCGGCAGGCCUAACACAUGCAAGUCGAGCGGCAGCGCGGGGGCAACCCUGGCGGCGAGCGGCGGACGGGUGAGGAAUUCGUCGGAAUCUGCCUUUUUGUGGGGGAUAACGUAGGGAAACUUACACUAAUACCGCAUACGUCCUACGGGAGAAAGUGGGGGACCGCAAGGCCUCACGCAGAAAGAUGAGCCGACGACCGUUUAGCUAGUUGGUGGGGUAAAGGCCCACCAAGGCGACGAUCGGUAGCUGGUCUGAGAGGAUGAUCAGCCACACUGGGACUGAGACACGGCCCAGACUCCUACGGGAGGCAGCAGUGGGGAAUAUUGGACAAUGGGCGCAAGCCUGAUCCAGCCAUGCCGCGUGUGUGAAGAAGGCCUUCGGGUUGUAAAGCACUUUUGUCCGGAAAGAAAUCCCUGGAGCUAAUACCUUCGGGGGAUGACGGUACCGGAAGAAUAAGCACCGGCUAACUUCGUG
rnacentral:rRNA from 1 species